rnacentral:rRNA from 1 species
AGAGUUUGAUCAUGGCUCAGGACGAACGCUGGCGGCGUGCUUAAUACAUGCAAGUCGAGCGAGGUUACUGUUUUGGAUCCCUUCGGGGUGAAGAAGCUUUAACCUAGCGGCGGACGGGUGAGUAACGCGUGGGUAACCUACCCCAAAGUCCGGGAUAACAGCGGGAAACCGCUGCUAAUACCGGAUGUCUUUACCUUGGGGCAUCUUGAGGUAAAGAAAGGCAACGCUUUGGGAUGGGCCCGCGUCCCAUUAGCUAGUUGGUGAGGUAACGGCUCACCAAGGCGACGAUGGGUAGCCGGCCUGAGAGGGUGGACGGCCACACUGGGACUGAGACACGGCCCAGACUCCUACGGGAGGCAGCAGUAGGGAAUAUUGCGCAAUGGACGGAAGUCUGACGCAGCGACGCCGCGUGAGCGAUGAAGGUCUUCGGAUCGUAAAUCUCUGUCCUUGGGG